CCUACGGGUGGCAGCAGUGAGGAAUAUUGGUCAAUGGACGAGAGUCUGAACCAGCCAAGUAGCGUGAAGGAUGACUGCCCUAUGGGUUGUAAACUUCUUUUAUAUGGGAAUAAAAUGUUCCACGUGUGGGAUUUUGUAUGUACCAUAUGAAUAAGGAUCGGCUAACUCCGUGCCAGCAGCCGCGGUAAUACGGAGGAUCCGAGCGUUAUCCGGGUUUAUUGGGUUUAAAGGGAGCGUAAGAGGAUUGUUAAGUCAGUUGUGAAAGUUUGCGGCUCAACCGUAAAAUUGCAGUUGAAACUGGCAGUCUUGAGUACAGUAGAGGUGGGCGGAAUUCGUGGUGUAGCGGUGAAAUGCUUAGAUAUCACGAAGAACUCCGAUUGCGAAGGCAGUUCACUGGACUGCAACUGACACUGAGGCUCGAAAGUGUGGGUAUCAAACAGGAUUAGAUACCCCUGUAGUC
rnacentral:rRNA from 1 species